rnacentral:lncRNA from 1 species
AAAGGGCUGAUAACCGGAUCUAUAAUUGCUUCAUAACCUUUCGAGUAAUCAGACCCCUACAGAUUCACCUAAUCAUUUCAAGAUAAUCCUUAGAAGCACUCGUAUCUUCGAUCGGAAUUCCAUCGCUAUCCUUAGCAUAAAAACCUCUGGUUAGCAUACUAAGAGCCCUCUGGUUGCAUUGAAAAAAGAUGAGCUUUUUCCCCCGGUUCAAAAGAUGCCACAUCUGCCUCAAGACCCACAGCUUAUUCAACAGCUUACGCCCCACGAUUUGUUGCUUCCAAUGUUUUCGAUUGGUCUUCUUUCUACCCGGGUUUCAAGCCAUCAUCUCAGUUGGUGGCCUAAGAUAAGGCAACUUACAAUAUCGGAUUAGGAAAUCAUGAAACCUGCCAAAGAAGAGCUUCCAAUUGAAUAUUGCGCCCAUAUGCCUACCUUUUGUUUUACCUACUUAGGCCACAUCUCCUUCUGCUCGUACACUCGGGGAUGACACCUAAAAGAAAGACUGACAUUGGCUACAUUUGUUUGAUUGCUUGGGCUACUUUUUGUAGUUACAAAAUUUUAUAAAGAAGUGGUUAUCUCCUUGCCCGUAGAAAGCAUUGAAAGAAGUAGAAAGCGGGAGGGAGUGAUCCACAAGAGGAGUUCUUCCUUCUACUUGAUGAAAGUUUCAAACUGCCAAAGAAGGGGAAAGAUACUUCUAAUACAACACUAAAUAAACCUUUCUUACCCGCUUUAGAUCUGCAAGAUCUAAGAGGGGCUCUCCAUGCUUCUAGUGAAUUCAGAAGUUUUCGGCAAGUGUAGGCGAAAAUGUUUUCGAAGCUCCGGAGGGAGCAAACAAUGAAUUAACUGGAGCAAGUGACUUGACGGCAAGGGAAGUACAAUCAAGCCAAUCAAUUAGGGGAACUAAUGUGUUGGCCAUUGCAGUCUUUGUUGGAUCAUCCGUCUUAGGUGCCAUAGUCAUUCUUAACACUCUCAUUCAACAAUUAAAAUGUAGUUUUCGCUUGUAACUUUCUGGUGAGAUGGUUCAAUAGUUGUUAGAUUUAGAUAAAGUAAAGGCGCCCGAUUGGAGAUCAU